UACAGAGGUCUCAAGCGUUGUUCGGAUUCAUUGGGCGUAAAGGGUGCGUAGGCGGCGCGGUAAGUCGGGUGUGAAAUCUCGGAGCUUAACUCCGAAACUGCAUUCGAUACUGCCGUGCUUGAGGACUGGAGAGGAGACUGGAAUUUACGGUGUAGCGGUGAAAUGCGUAGAUAUCGUAAGGAAGACCAGUGGCGAAGGCGGGUCUCUGGACGGUUCCUGACGCUGAGGCACGAAGGUCAGGGGAGCAAACGGG
rnacentral:rRNA from 1 species